rnacentral:rRNA from 3 species
GCGACCCCAGGAUGGGCGAGGCCACCCGCCGAGUUUAAGCAUAUCAAUAAGCGGAGGAGA